GCGAAAGCGUGGGGAGCAAACAGGAUUAGAUACCCUGGUAGUCCACGCCCUAAACGAUGUACACUAGUUGUUGGGGUGCUAGUCAUCUCAGUAAUGCAGCUAACGCAUUAAGUGUACCGCCUGGGGAGUACGGUCGCAAGAUUAAAACUCAAAGGAAUAGACGGGGACCCGCACAAGCGGUGGAGCAUGUGGUUUAAUUCGAAGAUACGCGAAGAACCUUACCUGGGCUUGAUAUCCUAAGAACCUUUUAGAGAUAAGAGGGUGCUAGCUUGCUAGAACUUAGAGACAGGUGCUGCACGGCUGUCGUCAGCUCGUGUCGUGAGAUGUUGGGUUAAGUCCCGCAACGAGCGCAACCCACGUAUUUAGUUGCUAACGGUUCGGCCGAGCACUCUAAAUAGACUGCCUUCGUAAGGAGGAGGAAGGUGUGGACGACGUCAAGUCAUCAUGGCCCUUAUGCCCAGGGCGACACACGUGCUACAAUGGCAUAUACAAUGAGACGCAAUACCGCGAGGUGGAGCAAAUCUAUAAAAUAUGUCCCAGUUCGGAUUGUUCUCUGCAACUCGAGAGCAUGAAGCCGGAAUCGCUAGUAAUCGUAGAUCAGCCAUGCUACGGUGAAUACGUUCCCGGGUCUUGUACUCACCGCCCGUCACACCAUGGGAGUUGAUUUCACUCGAAGCCGGAAUACUAAACUAGUUACCGUCCACAGUGGAAUCAGCGACUGGGGUGAAGUCGUAACAAGGUAACCGUAGGAGAACCUGCGGUUGGAUCACCUCCUUUCUA
rnacentral:rRNA from 2 species